UACGUAGGGUCCGAGCGUUGUCCGGAAUUACUGGGCGUAAAGAGCUCGUAGGUGGUUUGUCGCGUUGUUCGUGAAAAACUCACAGCUUAACUGUGGGCGUGCGGGCGAUACGGGCAGACUUGAGUACUGCAGGGGAGACUGGAAUUCCUGGUGUAGCGGUGGAAUGCGCAGAUAUCAGGAGGAACACCGGUGGCGAAGGCGGGUCUCUGGGGCAACAACUGACGCUGAGGAGCGAAAGCGUGGGGAGCGAACAGG
rnacentral:rRNA from 1 species